rnacentral:rRNA from 1 species
UACAGAGGUCCCAAGCGUUGUUCGGAUUCACUGGGCGUAAAUGGUGCGUAGGUGGUUAGGUAAGUCGGAUGUGAAAGCUCGGAGCUCAACUCCGAAAUGGCAUUGGAAACUACCUUGCUCGAGGGUUGGAGGGGGGACUGGAAUACUUGGUGUAGCAGUGAAAUGCGUAGAUAUCAAGUGGAACACCAGUGGCGAAGGCGAGUCCCUGGACAACUCCUGACACUGAGGCACGAAAGCUAGGGGAGCAAACAGG